AACGCACCUUGCGCUCCUUGGUAUUCCGAGGAGCAUGCCUGUUUGAGUGUCAUUAAAUUCUCAACCCUCUCAUUCUUUUGUGGAAUGGGGGUGGCUUGGAUUGUGGAGGCUUUUUGCUGGCUAAUUUCAGUCGGCUCCUCUAAAAUGUAUUAGCGGAACUGUUUGCAAUCUGCUGCAAAGUGUGAUAAUUAUCUACACUAGCUUGGGAAUUGCUCUCUGUAUGUUUGGCUUCUAACUGUCCUUUUGUGGACAACUUUAAUGAAUGCUUGACCUCAAAUCAGGUAGGACUACCCGCUGAACUUAA
rnacentral:misc_RNA from 1 species